rnacentral:lncRNA from 1 species
UGUGUAGUGUUUAAAUGAACGGGUCAAAAACGAAAAUUUUUACUACUCCCCCAUCCCCACACUUGAAGUAAACAUUGUCCUCAAUGUGUAGUGUUUAAAUGAACGGGUCAAAAACGAAAAUUUUUACUACUCCCCCAUCCCCACACUUGAAGUACAUAUUGUCCUCAAUGUGUGAAAACUAGAGUAUUAGAUGCACAAGGGAUGUGACACGGCUAAUUCCCCCAAAUUUUCACCCCGGAAAUAAAAUACAAAAAUACACUCCACUUAUUCCUAACUAAGACUCAAAGUAAAAAGAAGCACAUGCACCUGAUUUUUGUCGCUUGAUACUCAUAUCUCCUUUGUCUCUUCAUAAAAACGGUUGUCCCGCGAACAUAUUGUACCUACAAAUUCUAAC